rnacentral:rRNA from 1 species
UACGUAGGGUGCGAGCGUUAAUCGGAAUUACUGGGCGUAAAGCGUGCGCAGGCGGUUUGUUGUGUCUGAUGUGAAAGCCCCGGGCUCAACCUGGGAACUGCGUUUGAAACUGCAAGGCUAGAGUGUAGGAGAGGGGGGUAGAAUUCCACGUGUAGCAGUGAAAUGCGUAGAGAUGUGGAGGAAUACCAAUGGCGAAGGCAGCCCCCUGGCCUAACACUGACGCUCAUGCACGAAAGCGUGGGGAGCAAACAGG